AUUGAACGCUGGCGGCAUGCCUUACACAUGCAAGUCGAACGGCAGCGCGGGCUUCGGCCUGGCGGCGAGCGGCGGACGGGUGAGUAAUGCAUCGGAACGUGCCCAGGAGUGGGGGAUAACGUAGCGAAAGUUACGCUAAUACCGCAUACGUACUGAGGUAGAAAGCGGGGGAUCGAAAGACCUCGCGCUCAUGGAGCGGCCGAUGUCGGAUUAGCUAGUUGGCGGGGUAAAAGCCCACCAAGGCGACGAUCCGUAGCUGGUCUGAGAGGACGACCAGCCACACUGGGACUGAGACACGGCCCAGACUCCUACGGGAGGCAGCAGUGGGGAAUCUUGGACAAUGGGGGAAACCCUGAUCCAGCAAUGCCGCGUGUGGGAUGAAGGCCCUCGGGUUGUAAACCACUUUUGGCAGGAAAGAAAUCGCCUGUGCUAAUACCACGGGCGGAUGACGGUACCUGCAGAAUAAGCACCGGCUAACUACGUGCCAGCCGCCGCAGUAA
rnacentral:rRNA from 1 species